UUUGUAUAUUUACUGCAGUUUUUCAUGUAUACCAGUAGUCUGAUACAACAUUUACAGUUGGAAAGGGUGUCAAAUGACAUUUGGUGAUGAUUAAUGGUUUUUGUGUUAAUGUAAUAGCAGUUUAAACAGGACCGGUCCAAUUUGACCGCAAACACCAAAUUAAGGGGGGGAACACGAAGACAGUAGGAGGGUUAAACAUGAAUUCAU